rnacentral:rRNA from 1 species
UACGUAGGGCGCAAGCGUUGUCCGGAAUUAUUGGGCGUAAAGAGCUCGUAGGCGGCCUGUUGCGUCCGCUGUGAAAUCCCGGGGCUCAACCCCGGGCCUGCAGUGGAUACGGGCUGGCUAGAGGCAGGCAGGGGAGAACGGAAUUCCUGGUGUAGCGGUGAAAUGCGCAGAUAUCAGGAGGAACACCGGUGGCGAAGGCGGUUCUCUGGGCCUGUACUGACGCUGAGGAGCGAAAGCAUGGGGAGCGAACAGG